rnacentral:rRNA from 1 species
AGUGAACGCUGGCGGUAGGCCUAACACAUGCAAGUCGAACGGCAGCACAGUAAGAGCUUGCUCUUACGGGUGGCGAGUGGCGGACGGGUGAGGAAUACAUCGGAAUCUACUUUUUCGUGGGGGAUAACGUAGGGAAACUUACGCUAAUACCGCAUACGACCUACGGGUGAAAGCAGGGGAUCUUCGGACCUUGCGCGAUUGAAUGAGCCGAUGUCGGAUUAGCUAGUUGGCGGGGUAAAGGCCCACCAAGGCGACGAUCCGUAGCUGGUCUGAGAGGAUGAUCAGCCACACUGGAACUGAGACACGGUCCAGACUCCUACGGGAGGCAGCAGUGGGGAAUAGUGGACAAUGGGCGCAAGCCUGAUCCAGCCAUACCGCGUGGGUGAAGAAGGCCUUCGGGUUGUAAAGCCCUUUUGUUGGGAAAGAAAAGCAGCAGGUUAAUACCCCGCUGUUCUGACGGUACCCAAAGAAUAAGCACCGGCGAACUUCG